AGCUUUGCACUGGCAGUAUCGUAGCCAUUGAGGUUUACCUGAGGUGCGAUUAUUUCGAAUUGAAAACUUUUCCGAAUAUCCUGCCGUGACAUCUCACAAAAUAGUCGGUAUUGGCAAUUUUUUACAGUCUCAAAGGAGA
rnacentral:snRNA from 1 species